UUGCUUUGUUUUUGCCUGUUUGCAGGCAUCCAACACUCAUCUCAAAUCAGUGUCUUGCGGAAGCAGAAGAAAAGUAAUACAUCUAUUGUAUUUUGAAAUGAAAACAGGAAUUAUUUUGCUACAGAGCUAGAGCUUAACAUUUUUAGCAAAAUGUGGAUCCUUCUUCUCAAUCUUCAUUUAGGAUGCUGCGACUACAACCCUUUGUUUAGUUAGUGGAAUUGAGAACAAGGCCCAGGUGGAUGAUGAUUGAGGACUAAACCCCAAACUUUCCUUGGAUCACUCCACUGUUUCAGGACAUCAAGGGCUCCGGACAUUGAGAAAUUUUCCCUUUAAGUUAUGAUGGGAAUCCAGAACAACGCUGUAUGGACCCCUCUAUGCUGUGAAAUACUUAAGUGCUCAGGAGAAGUCAUAUUCUGGUUGCUGCAAGCAUGUAACGCCCUGUCAUUAAAAUAAAAAAUAGAUUGUUAUCCUCUG